CAGGGAGACAACAAAAUGUUUAAUAUUAUUAUUUUGUCACCUUAGGUCGAUCGGUAUCUCACAUUCUUAAUCUAUUAAGGAUUUCAUUUCUUAAGUUUUUCUAGGUCACACCCAUUAUUUUUCCUGGGCCAUUAGCUCAGGUGGUUAGAGCGCACCCCUGAUAAGGGUGAGGUCCCUGGUUCAAGUCCAGGAUGGCCCAUCUCUCUAUGUUGGGGGUAUAGCUCAGUUGGUAGAGCGCCUGCUUUGCAAGCAGGAUGUCAGCGGUUCGAGUCCGCUUACCUCCACUGAUUACCACCUCUUCCAUAUUCUGUAGAAGGGAAAUGUUUUGUGUUGUGAUCACAUUCUGAACGAAUCUAGCUUCCUAAUGAAUUAAUUAAGAUGCUGGACUCAUUGAAUUAUUUUCAUUGAUUUCAGAGAACCUUGACAACUGCAUAGAUUAUUUUUAAAGACAAUAAGCAUUUUAAUGAUGCAGAUUUAUUAUUUGUGCGAAUGCACUAAUAACAAUUCUAUAAGCUGAUGCUUCAA
rnacentral:tRNA from 1 species